AGAGUUUGAUCAUGGCUCAGGACGAACGCUGGCGGCGUGCCUAAUACAUGCAAGUCGAGCGAAUCGAUGGGAGCUUGCUCCCUGAGAUUAGCGGCGGACGGGUGAGUAACACGUGGGCAACCUGCCUAUAAGACUGGGAUAACUUCGGGAAACAGGAGCUAAUACCGGAUACGUUCUUUUCUCGCAUGAGAGAAGAUGGAAAGACGGUUUACGCUGUCACUUAUAGAUGGGCCCGUGGCGCAUUAGCUAGUUGGUGAGGUAAUGGCUCACCAAGGCGACGAUGCGUAGCCGACCUGAGAGGGUGAUCGGCCACACUGGGACUGAGACACGGCCCAGACUCCUACGGGAGGCAGCAGUAGGGAAUCUUCCGCAAUGGACGAAAGUGUGACGGAGCAACGCCGCGUGAACGAAGAAGGCCUUCGGGUCGUAAAGUUCUGUUGUUAGGGAAGAACAAGUACCAGAGUAACUGCUGGUACCUUGACGGUACCUAACCAGAAAGCCACGGCUAACUACGUGCCAUCAGCCGCGGUAAUACGUAUGUGGCAAGCGUUGUCCGGAAUUAUUGGGCGUAAAGCGCGCGCAGGUGGUUCCUUAAGUCUGAUGUGAAAGCCCACGGCUCAACCGUGGAGGGUCA
rnacentral:rRNA from 1 species